GGGCGGUUAGCUCAGCUGGUAGAGCACCUGCUUUACACGCAGGUGGUCGCAGGUUCGAGUCCUGCACCGCCCA
rnacentral:tRNA from 1 species